CCCCAAAAGGUGAGGAAAUGCAUAUUGUUUUAGAAUGCGUUCAACACUGAAUGACAAAAGAAGAGGCCAGGGCAAUACCAGUAUGGGCAAGUUUUACAGGAUGCAGACAGGAACUCAUCUCAACAUGAAAGAAGGAAAUUCAGGCAUGGAUUUUCACAUUAUGCAAAUGAUGAGUUUGUGUCAAUUUUAAUCCAAACCCAACACCCAGGUACAGAAGAGGAAUGGAAAUCUGGAAUGAGGAGGAAAGAAAUAGUAUAGCAGAUGGCUCAAGUGAAUGGAUCACAAGAGAUGGUGUGGCUGGAGUCAGGUCCUUUCCCCAGGGGAAAUUGUAACCUGAUUUGAGAAGCUGCAUACACAGAGGGUCUGGCAAGGAAGCCUCAAAGCCUUUGUGAAUAGACAAGGCCAUGUGAGAGGGGUAAAUCAGCAGUGGCUAAACUAUGUCCUAAGAGUUCGCAAGGAUUUCUGACAUGAUAACGGUAUAGUACAUGAGAGGAAUGCAUCAACAACAGAACUUUCCCAAAAGGGCUGUCAGUUCCAUCUAAGAAAACUCAGAGAAACAAAAUACACAAAACAGAAGAAAACCACCAAAACCCCUCCAACUACAUCUACAUCAUCUACUACAGAACUGUUGAAUUAAUAAUACAAUAUUGAAGACUGCUGUAAGAACAAUCAUUUAUAAACGAGUACAGUAGGACAAAUUCCA